rnacentral:tRNA from 1 species
AAUGAAGUGUCUGACUAUAGAGUUACUUUGAUAGGGUAAAAAAAGUGAAUUUUCACCUUCAUUA